AGAUUGAACGCUGGCGGCAGGCCUAACACAUGCAAGUCGAGCGGUAGAGAGGUGCUUGCACCUCUUGAGAGCGGCGGACGGGUGAGUAAUGCCUAGGAAUCUGCCUAGUGGUGGGGGAUAACGUUCGGAAACGGACGCUAAUACCGCAUACGUCCUACGGGAGAAAGCGGGGGACCUUCGGGCCUCGCGCCAUUAGAUGAGCCUAGGUCGGAUUAGCUAGUUGGUGAGGUAAUGGCUCACCAAGGCGACGAUCCGUAACUGGUCUGAGAGGAUGAUCAGUCACACUGGAACUGAGACACGGUCCAGACUCCUACGGGAGGCAGCAGUGGGGAAUAUUGGACAAUGGGCGAAAGCCUGAUCCAGCCAUGCCGCGUGUGUGAAGAAGGUCUUCGGAUUGUAAAGCACUUUAAGUGGAGGAAGGUUGUAACUUAAUACGUUGCAACUUUGACGUUACCGACAGAAGAAGCACCGGCUAACUUCGCGCCAGCAGCCG
rnacentral:rRNA from 1 species